rnacentral:lncRNA from 1 species
AAGAAUGACAGAAAACAACACUUCAUACAUUCCAAAUAUGGCACGACCCACCGUAGUUGUGACGGCGCCCAGCACACUACUAGGCAAGCCCGACCAUUUAUAAUAAUAACCCUAAUUUUUUAAACAGAUAAAGAUAACACUAUUUAAGUCAAACAUCUGAAAUAUUGAUAAUAAUGCGAAAAAUCUAACAAUAUACCAAUACAGCCCAACUAGGACCCGGUGUCACGAACAUGAGCCUCUAGAAUACAGAGUAAUAUCCUACUACAAAGUCUGUCUAAAAACUGAAAAUGCGAAAAUAAAGGAUAGAGAUAGAGGGGAGAAUCAUCUGCUGCGAACACCCCGCAGCUACCUCAAAAUACUUCCGGAAUAAAACUCUGGAUCAACUGGAUCCACUCAGCCUGAGACUGCCCUGGAUCUACACGCAAGGUGCGGGGAGUAAAGUGAGUACUCCGACCCAGUGAGUAAUAAACAUAACUACAGUCUAAAAGUAAGAAAACACAGAAAUGCACGAAGUACUCUAUAUCUAGCCGUUCAUAUCCAAAAUAGUGGAAACAAUAUACAACAAGUAAUACAGUUAAGAAAUAAUACAUGAAGGAAUGCAACACAUAUAAAAGUACACACUAGUACCCGCUGCGGCGUGCAGCCCCCUCCACUUAUUUAAUGUCGACGACACUCACUGGGGGUGUGUACAGACUCCGCAGGGGCUCCUACAGCCCAAGCGCAAUAUCAGCCAGGUAUUGGCAUAAGACAUGCUCUCAGUCUCAAUACCAAUAUAUAUAAUCGUUGCGACGUGCAUCCCGAUCCAUAUCAAGGAAAACUCCUCACUACCGAUGACCCAUCUCAGUCAAAUAAGUUCACAACCAAUCGGGCGUGACAUACUAUAGGGAUCUCAACCCUCAUAUCCUUAUUAAUUUAAUGUUCAUGUAUAAAACACAGUUAUUAUAUUAUUUCUAACAUUUGAAAACAUUACUGAGAAUCUAUUUUAUGCACACAAGUGAGGAAAAUACAUAAGUAUCCCCUAAGGAUUCUACAGGGCGGCACAAGGCCCCAAACACGUCAAUAAUCCCAAUUCACAAUAAUAAAGUAUGCGUCUCAAUCGCUAAUAUAGUAGAAAUUAACACUCGGGAUGGACUAAGUCUAAAUCCCCAACAGUAAACGACCCCGCACUCAUCGUGGAAUGCGUGUCACGCCUCAAUAUAGCGUUACGAUGUGAAUAUCUGGGGUUUCAAACCCUCAAAGCACCAUUUACAUCCAUUACUCACCUCUAGCCAGCCGAAAACCAGCUAGCAAUUCCCUUGCCUCUCGAAUCGACCUCAUCGCGUAUCGUAUCAGGCCAAAACCACAAUGAAUAUAUUACAAUAGGCCAAGGGAAUAUAACCCAAUUGGAAAGACUCGAAAAAUAUCAAAAACCAAAAAAUUUGCAAACCCGAGCCCCGGGCCCACUUCUCGAAAGGCAAAAAUUUUUACAUCAAAAUAUUCCUUAUCUCGCCAUCAGUAUAUAGAUGUAAAAUUUAUCAAAAUCGGAGUCCAAAUUCUCCCUAAAAUUCAAAUUUCUCAUUCAAAAACCCAAGCACUAAUUCUUUCCCUUUUUACUCAAAUUUCAUGAAUUUAGGUGUCGAAAUCACAAUUAGAUAAUGUUUCUAGGCACUAGGACUUACCUCCAAUCGACUCCCAGUCAAAACCCUCUAAAUUCCUCGUCAAAAGGUCCCAAGGUUGCUUAACAAUGGUGGAAAAUAGACUUGGUUCGCGGAUGAAAUGUUAUUAAAAACCCUCUAUUUCCAGCUAUUUCCUUCUAUGCGAACGCGAAACCCCCAUCGCGUUCGCGAUGCAUAAAAAUUCCUCAGACCAAAUUAACCCUUUGCGAAUGCAUCUAGUCUCCCGCGAACGCGAAGGCUCAGGGCCAAGACCUAUGCGAACGCGACCUAUUGAAUGCGAAUGCGUUGAACACCCAGGCUGGCCCUCUACUUUACUCUACGCGAAUGUGUGCCCCGUCCCGCGAAUGCGAAGCGCCAAUGCCUCAACCUAUGCGAACACGAGGCGCCAACGUGAAUGAUUUGAACAUUUUCCUAAAUUCCAAACUUAACCCUACAUGAGCGCGACACUUGCCAUGCGAACGCGAAGGCUUAAAGUAGCCUGCACUACUGUUGCAUUUUCUACAACUCAAAAAGUCCAAAAAUCCUUCCGUUGAUCACUCGGAAUCACCCCGAGGCCCCCGGUACCUCGACCAAAAGCACCAACAUAUCCCAAAACAUCAUACAAACUUAUUCAAAUCAUCAUAACACGUCAAACAACACUAAAACCCGACCUAUGUUUCUUCAAAACUUCCGAAUUGCACAUUCGAACAAAAUCCGACUUAAACACCUCCGAAUGACCUGAAAUUUUGCACACAUAUCCAAAAUAACCUAACGGAGGUAAUGAAACUCUCGAAAUUCUAUUUUGACCCUCGGAUCAAAAUCUCACUAUCAACCAUAAUUCUCCAAAAUUCAAACUUCACCAAUUCAAGCCUAAUUCUACAUCGGACCUCCAAAUUCAAUUCAGAUCGCACUCCUAAGUCAUAAAUUAUCACCCAAAGCUAACCGAAUUACCAUGAUUCACAUCCGAGCCCUCUAAAUUAAUAGUCAACUUUGAGUUGACUUUUCCAAAACAUGCUCACGAGUAAGCCCCCUUUCUUUUUUUUUAUGUUUUUCAAUCGCCUUUGUUUAUUGUGAAUCCGUUCGACAUAUAUGCCUUCACUCGGGCCUCAAAAAAGCAGAGAAAUGUUGAAGUGACGUCCAAGCCCGUGGUCGCAAUGCCGCCUCCACGCAAGCCCUCGGUCACCGAGCCGACCUCGUCCGCUCGGAAGGACACAACCUUGGCCAGCCUUCCGAGUUCUACCCCCGUGCCUCCACGCAAGCCCUCGGUCACCGAGCCAACCUCGUCCGCUCGGAAGGGAAGGAAGAAAGAAGGCGAACACGAAUACUAAAAAGCGGUUCAUGGGGACCCCCAAAAAAGGGGAUAGAGAGCGCGGAACGGGCUUUCCAAGCAUAAAACAAUCCCUACCUAUACAUUCCAUGGCAACAGACAGAAGGCUGUUUUGUCGUUGUUCUUAACCCCAGGCACAUUUCCGUUCCCAAUAAUCUCCAUGAAAAGACUACCAUGAUUUCCGAACGAACCGAGGGAGAGUCGAGGCAUGAAAAAACUUAUCUAUGAUCUGCUUAUUUCCAAGUACGUAUCAUCCGCUGCCUUAUCCGCCGUGGGCUUUCCAAGCAUAAAACAAGUGUCUCAUUUCCAUCUAAAACCAUCCAAUUCUACCCGAUCAACUCAAAUACUGAUAUUGAAUUAUAGAGAAGCAUAAUACGAUGGAAACAUGGCAGUAACUUAUAUGACGACGUGCCAGGUCGUCACAUCCGCCCCAACUAAAACAAACGCUCGUCCUCGAGCGGGUCAAGAAGCAUACCUGAAGCCUCAAAUAGGUGAGGAUAUUUCAAGUGGCCUCCUCCACGGGCCGACCUCUCCAAUGCACCUUCACCGAAGCUAUAUCCUUAGAUCUCAACUUCCGGACUGUUGAUACUCAAUUUUUUCCUAUAUAUUUUUAUUCUCAAAAUAAUCUCAAAAUAGCACAUGUAUUCAUAUAUGAGCAUCCCAAAAGAUUUUGGCCUUUUUAAAGGAUUUUGAACUAAUUUAUGGCCUAUUUUUACACCAUAAAUCCCAAUAAUUAUUUCCCAAAACUUGCCACUUUGGAGAAUAGUUUAUUUUAUUCUGACAUUUGCAUAAAAAACAUAGUGUACAUGAUUUUUGUAUAAUUUUAGGACUCCAUUUGGUAUUUUUAAAACUAUAUUGUAUGUAAUUACGAUUUUAGCACAUUUCUGGAUUUUAUAGCAAUUUUAAUUACAAAAUCAAUACCAAUAUUCUUAAAUUAAUACUUAUAUAUUGUUUACUAACCCAGUUCUUUUAAUUUGAUUUUUAACAUCUUUUACCAUUUUUAUAAAUUCAAAAGGGAAAAUUGCUAUUUCAAUUUUGGCCUCAAAUUACUUUCAAUUGUAUCCCAAUUUGGACCCCAGUUCUGACCCCCAGUAUUGAAUGACCCAAUUACCCGACCCAUUUCUAAACCCACCCGACCAUUGUUUUAAUUUAGGCCAUUAAUCAUUUUGAUCAACGACCACGAUUUCUCCAUUCCUUUUAAAAUUUCACAACACCCCAAACCCUACAUCAUUCACUCAAAUCCGCCGCCCCUAGAAUCCCUUCGUCUCAAACUCUCCCUAGCCCCUCCAAAACCCUAGACUUCUCCUAUUGGCUUCCACCAUGUUUCACCAGAAUCCAUGGAAUCCUUAAGCCCCGAGUGACCUGUACUCACCUCGACGUGCUCUUAUACACCUGCUACCGAAAGAUUCAAGGUCUGCCCUUAAAGGUUUUCGCACAUAUCAUCGUAGAUUCAAGUUUCACGGCCAUCUCCGGCAUGUCCUGGUCCUAUGAGCCUAUCUCUGGCUCACCUGGCUGUGAGCAGACCCUUUUCCAGGCCUUUCUCACUUCUAGGGUUCUUAUGAAACCCUAGCCCUUCGAGGUUUUCUUAUAUUUCUCAAGAUCCGCUUUAGAUCCAUGCUUGUCUUAUAGAGAAGACCCUUUUCCAGGCCUUUCUCACUUCCAGGGUUCUUCUGAAACCCUAGACCUUCGAGUUUUUCCUCUAUUUCUCUAGAUCCGCUCUAGAUCCAUGCUUGUUUUAAGGUUUUCAAAAGUUCUUAAUUCUCUUUCAAAAGUCUGCUUUCAAAAUUAUUCAUCUCCUUUGAUUUAGGGUUUCUUUGAUUUUACUUGUUAUACUGUGAUUUUAUGAGGUGUUCUUACUGUAUUUGUCCUACUAUGACUCCUGUUUGUUCCUACUUUGACUCAUGUGUGUUUUCUUCUACUAUGUUUCCUCUUAAUGUUCCAUUGUGUUUUCUUUUACUAUGUUUUCCUUCAGUAUCUUUUCACGGAACGAUUAAGUUCCUUUGGGUUUCUCUGAGUUUGCUCUUGCUUGAUUUGUUCGUUUUCGUCCCUUUACUAGACUACUGACGAAAACUUUAGAAUUUGGGGGGUUUUCAGACCACGUGUAUGUGACUUGCAUGUUCUCACCUCUCAACUAGUUUGAUUUUAAUUUUUCUAUUUUUCAUAUGGUUCUGACCUUUUUUCCAAAAGCUAGGUUUUCCUUCUUUCAUGUUUGAAGUGCUCGAAUGCUCCUUAUAUACUAUGAUUUUUCCCCUUAAAUGGUCUUUUGAAUUUGCAAUUAGUUCAAAAUCUCUUCUGAAUACAGCUUGAUUGAUUUCAUUCCAUUUUUGCCACGACUCGACCUAAGUAAAAACCUUCUCCUUUUCAGACUGGAUUCAUUUGUAUAAAAAUCUCAGACCUUUGAUUUACAGUUUGUAAUUGGUUUUCUUUCCUUAUUUAAAAAAACCUUUUCCUUAAAUAACGUUUAUGUAUUCACCCUUAUUUGUAUAUUAUGCGCAAUGUUAUUUAUUUGAACCUCUUCCUUAAAUAUUUCCCGUCCUUUAGUGAUCAAAUUGUGGUUCUUCAAUUAAAGGAACCUCUGUUAAUUGAUUGAUCUUAAUUGAUACUCGACUAAUUUUCUUUCCUUGCUUGCAUGUCUGAUUUCAAGUAUAAAUACAUGCUCUUCUUUUCACUUCAUUAUAGAAUUCUGACUACAAAUCAAAAUCAGAAUUCAUCUCUGUCUUCUUUAGUACUACUAUUACUACUAUCUAUUUCUCUACACUACUACUGAGCAUUCUAUAUUCGUACUUCUUGCUGUCUGAAUUUCUAAGCACUUAGGGAGUUUUCUUGAGUCUAUUCCUGUUGUUACUGGCUGUUUGUUUGCUGUUACUAUUUUGGUGUUCUAGAUUUUAUAAAUGGUAUGUUCUUCUAUGUUAAAUAGCAUCCUUGUUCAAUUUCUCCGCUUCUACCCCUUUUUCUUUGUGCAGCACUAUGAAUUGUUGUCUAUGAUCCGGAACUAGACUUUUCUCAAUCUUUACUCGAUUACUUUCCCAUUCCUUUUCCCCUCAAUAUGCCGAGCUCUAAUUUGGGUCUGUUGGUGUUCUGAUCACCAUUUAGACCUGAGUUUGAGUCUAUAAGAGUCUGUGCUUAUUUGUUUGAAUUUGAGCAGGAGGUUAGGGGUCUGGCAGUCUAUGCCAUUGGCUGGGUAUGACCACCUCCUUCUAAGGUUCCUCCCUCACUUUGCACUUACACCUAGCUCUUAAGUUCUACUCCCCUCUGGUAAGCCAUGCUUAGGGACCCUACAACUCCCUCUAAACUUAGAUGCCUAAGGGCUGGCAAUUUCACACGUUGCACUACUCUGUUACCACAUUCACUCUUAUGGGUGUAAGAAUUGCCUGGGCUCUUGAAGGUCCUUAGUACUUUGAAACACUCUAAGAGAAGGCAUUGGAAUCUAGAACCCGGAUUUGGUAAAACACAUGAAUUGGAUAUCAAGAUUGCAUUAGGUAGUUUGGAUCUAGCUGUGGGCUAUGAUGUAUUUUAUUUUUUUUUUUUACUUUGUAAUAAAAAUGACUCUUACCAGCCCAUUGGAUAUCAAGAUUGCAUUAGGUAGUUUGGAUCUAGCUGUGGGCUAUGAUGUAUUUUAUUUUUUACUUUUGGCUCUGUAAUAAUAACUUUGUAAUAAAACUUUGGAAAUAUAGUAGUAAAGGGUAUGGUAGGGUUUUUAGUUGUUUUGCAUGUUAAAGGACAGAAAUCAUGCCUAUAGGACUUUUACUAAUUCGAAUCACUUAGAUAUCAUGCCUAUUGGACUUUUACUAAUUUGAAUCACUUAUCAUGCCUAUAGGACUUUUACUAAUUUGAUUCACUUAGAUAUCAUUCCUAUAGGACUUUUACUACUUUGAAUCACUUAGAUAUCAUGCUCAUGGGCUUUGUAACGUUGAAUCAUCCAGAGAUCAUGUCCAUAGGCUUGCAUUUUUCUUAUAUAGAAAUCAUGCCUAUAGAAUUGCAUAAUGAUAGGCAAACAAUAGGGUAACACAACUAUUUCCUGUCUGAAACGUCUAAAAUAGCAUUGAAUAAAUACAAAUCGAAGUAGAAAUCAUGCUUAUAGGAUCUCAAAACUCGCUUAAGCCGUAUAAUCAAUAAUCUGGCAAUUGUUUCAAUGUCUUCAACAUAAUUCGUCCAAACUUGUCUGCAACUCUAAGAACUUGUAUUUCUGUCGCUAAAAUCAUUUUCCAAAUCUCUGUCUGAACUUUUAUUCAUGAGGUUACUUUCAAACAGCUUUCAAACUCUCGCCUCUUUUUAUGAACACUUUACUUCUGAAACUCUGAUGUACAUUUCUUUAAAUAGUCCCAGCGAUUUUCCAAAACCUUUUUAAACUUCUGCAACUUCUGCUUCUUUCAAAACUUGUCUAUGUUAACCCUUAAUUAAGAAUUUGGUAAAAUGCUCCAGAUACUAACAAUUGGAUCCAAGUUGCCUAAUGUAGACGUUUUAUAUAAUUCUAUGUAUUAAACUGAUCCGUCCACCGCUUAAUUUUAAUUUAAGACCAAACCAGUAUAUGCAAGACAUGCUAAACGACAUGUUGUCUGUUUAAAGGGGUUUCUUUGAGCCUUGGCCUGUCUUAUUUUAUUUCCCCUACUUGGUAUCUGUUUUGAAUGACAAAUUAGACUUUUAUCCUUUGAAACUACAUGGAAAGCCCCAAUCCCUUUCUUCCCCUUUUAGGAUUAGAAGUCCUAACACCCCAGGACUGAUAGGAUGGAGCGGGUACUAGCAUGCAAUAAGUAAAACGAGACUAAUCGUGUUUAAAUACCCUAACGGGGUGGGAAGGAUAAAAUAUGAAUAUGAUAACUGGUGCGCUGAUAUCUCGUGUGAGAAUGAUUGUUGGGUAUUGCACCAAAGUGAUCCAUAUUAUAUUGAACCCUAGGACACAUUUCUUCUUCUUUAUUAAUGCUUUAUCUUAUAUUAAUGUUUUCAACCAAAAUUCCUCUUUUCAAAACAACUUGUGUCUUUCUUCUUUCAAAAUUUCCAACUUUCUAUGUUUCCUAUGUGCAAACUUUGCUUGUUUACUCCUACUCUUCUUAAAGUCACAAUUAAGAAUGGCCGGAACCGAUCUUGAGGGGUGCCUAAAAGCUUCCCCUUGAGAUAAUCUCAAUCCCUUACCCGAACUCUAGUUUUCUUUGAAAAUCUUCUUCUUUUCUUCUUAAAGUGUCCGAAUGCACUAUAAUCAUUAGGUGGGGACUCUCCAAAAUCCAUAACCCAAAUUCCCCAAAAAGGGAUAACAGAGUUAUUCCACCCAUAAUGUCGAAACCCACUUUUCGCCCUUUAGAAAAAUAGGGGCGUCGACACGGAUCUGAGGACCCAAAAUAGCCACUGGCUCCACUGCAUAAGUUAGAUCUUCAUCCAACUGAACAUUGCUGAUGUCUAACACAUGAGACGGGUCCCCAACAUACUUUCGGAGCAUUGAAACAUGGAACACCGGGUGAACUCCCGACAAGCUGGGUGGCAAAGCAAGCAUAUAGGCCACCUCCCGAAUCCUCCUAAGUAUCUCAAGGUCCAAUGAACCGUGGACUCGGCUUCCCUUUCUUUCCAAACCUCAUAACGCCUUUCAUAGGCGAAACCUUCAACAAGACCUUAUCGACGACCAUAUAAUAUACAUCUCGAACCUUCCGGUCCAUAUAACUCUUUUGACGCAACUGAGCCGUACAAAGUCUCUCCUGGAUCACUUUCACCUUCUCUAUGGCAUCAUGAACCAACUCUGUCCCCAACAACCUAGACUCACUGGUCUCCAACCAACCGACUGGAGAUCGAAACCCUCUCUCAUAUUAUGCCUCAUACGACACCAUCUGAAUGCUAGAAAUAAUAACUGUUGUUGUAGGCAAACUCUGCAAGAGGUAGAAACUCAUCCCAAUAACCUCCAAACUCAAUCACACAGGCACACAACAUAUCCUCCAAUUUCUGAAUGGUACGCUCGGACUGUCCAUUUGUCUGAGGAUGAAAUGGUAAACUCAGCUCCACCUGAGUACCCAACUCGUGCUGAAAAGUCUUCCAAACUGAGAAAUGAACUGAGUACCCCUAUCCGAUAUAAUAGAAACUGGAACACCAUGCAAUCGGUCAAUCUCACGAAUAAAGACCCCUGCCAACCACUCUGAAGAAUAUGUGGUACACACUAGAAUGAAAUGCACGGACUUGGUCAGUCGAUCCACAAUAACCCAAAUCGAAUCGAACUUCUUCAAAGUCCGAGGAAGACCACUCACAAAAUUCAUGGUAACUCUCUCCCAUUUCCACUCAGGAAUAACUAUCUGCUGAAGCAAACCGCUCGGUCUCUGAUGCUCAUAUUUUACCUGCUGACAAUUGAGAUACCGAGCCACACAUACCACAAUGUCUUUCUUCAUUCUCCUCCACUAGUAAUUCUAUCUCAAGUCCUGGUACAUCUUCGCGGCACCCGAAUGGAUGGAAUACAAUACCGCGAACUGUGGGCUUCCUUAAGAAUGAAAUCUCUAAGCCCAUCUACAUUGGGCACACAAAUUCGUCCUUUCAUCUUCAACACACCAUCAUCACCUAUAGUCACAUCCCUAGCAUCUCCGUGAUGAACUCUGUCCUUGAGGACAAGCAAAUGUGGAUCAUCAUACUGGCGCUCUCUGAUGCAAUCAUACAAGGAAGAUUGGGAAACCACGCUCACUAACACUUGGCUAGGCUCCGAAAUAUCUAACUGCACCAACUGAUUGGCCAAAGUCUGAACAUCAACUGCAAGGGGUAUCUCCCCGACUGGAAUAUACGCCAAACACCCCAUACUAACUGCCUUUCAGCUCAAAGCAUUGGCCAAUACAUUGGCCUUUCCCGGAUGAUACAAAAUGGUAAUAUCAUAGUCCUUAAGUAACUCAAGCCAUCUCCACUGCCUCAAAUUAAGAUCUUUAUGCUUGAGUAAAUGCUGAAGGCUGCGAUGAUCGGUGAAUACCUCACAAGAUACUCCAUAUACAACAAAUCCCGACUCUCGAAGCAUCACAAUAAACGAUGUAAGAACCUGAAGUUGAUGGCAAGACCAAUAGUGGAGCUGUGGUCAAAGAUGUAUUGAGCUUCUGAAAGCUCUCCUCGCACUCAUCCGACCAUACAAACGGGGCAUCCUUCUGUGUCAACUUGGUCAAGGACGAGCCAAUAGAUGAGAAACCCUGAAUGAACCAGUGAUAAUAACCCGCCAAACCAAGGAAACUAUGAAUCCCUAUGGCCGAGGACGGUCUAGGCCAACUCUAAACUGUCACAAUCUUCUUUGGAUCAACAUGAAUACCAUAACUGGACAUCACGUGUCCCAAGAAGGCCACAGAACUAAGACAAAACUCGCACUUGGAGAACUUGGCAUAUAACUUCACCUCCCUCAAUCUCUGCAAUACCACUCCUGACUACGAAAGUAUACUAGAAUAUCAUCAAUGAAUAUAAUAACAAACGAAUCCAGAUACGAUCUAAAUCCACUGUUCAUUAGAUGCAUGAACGAUGCUGGGGCAUUGGUCAGCCCGAAAGACAUAACCAGAAACUCAUAGUGGCCAUCUCUAGUCAUGAAGGCAGUCUUAAGAAUAUCUGACUCCUUGAUCUUCAACCGGUGAUAACCCGAACGAAGAUCAAUCUUAGAAAACACCCUCGCUCCCUGAAGCCGGUCGAAUAAAUCAUCGAUGUGAGGUAGGGUAUACUUGUUCUUCCCUGUUACUUUAUUCAACUGCCUGUAGUCAAUGCACAUUCUCAUUGUGCCAUCUUUAUUCUUCACAAAUAACACAGGUGUACCCCACGGUGACACAGUAGGCCGAAUAAACCCCUUUUCUAGGAGUUCCUGAAGCUGGUCUUUUAAUUCUUUCAACUCGCUGGUUCCAUACGAUAAGGCAGAAUGGAAAUGGGCUUGGUUCCCGACACCGGGUCAAUGCCAAAGUCAAUGUCCCUUUCCAGUGGCAACCUCGGUAGGUAUAUAAGAAAUACAUCAAGGAAGUCCCUCACAACGGGGACAGAAUCUAUACCGGGAGCCUCAGCUCCAACAUCGCGCACAAAGGCCAAAUAUGAUAAACAACCUUUCCCAACCAUGCAUUGGGCUUUCAAGAAAGAUAUAACCCUACUAGGGACAAAAUCAGUCGUACCACGCCACUCGAUCCUCGGAACACUCGGCAUAGCCAAAGUGGCUAUCUUUGCAUGACAGUCUAGAAUAGCAUGACCCAGAGAUAACCAUUCCAUGCCCAGAAUGUCAUCAAACUCAACCAUGCUCAAAAGCAACAAAUCAACUCAGGUCUCUAGACCCCAAUUAGAACAAGACAGGACUGAUACACAUGGUUCACAAUAAUAGUAUCAUCCACCGGGGUAGAUACUUGCACAGGUAAAGCAAGACACCCUUGGGUCGUACUUAAACGAUGAGAAAAAUAUGAAGACACAUAGGAAUAGGUAGAACUGGGAUCAAAUAAGACAGAGGCAUCUCUGUGGCAGACCAAAAUAAUACCUGUGAUAACAUCUGAUGCAAGGGAAUCCAUCCUGCCUGGGAUAACAUAAAAUCUUGCUUGGACAUCGCCACAUGAUCCGUUUCGCCCCUAGGGAGACCCCCGGCUUCCUGGCCUCCGCCCCUCUCUGACUGGACUAGUGCUGAAGAAUUCAGAGCAGAAGACAAUGGCUGAUCCCUCUGCUAAGACUGGCUACCAUGAUGUCGAGGACACUGCCUCCUCAUAUGUCCAAACUCUCCUAACUCGAAGCAAAUACCACAUGUUGGAGAAGGGGAGUAAUUGGAACCCCUCGCACUAGAAUGACCAGCCGAUGUGCCCUGCGCAGAAGAACCCUGAGCUGAAGGGGCAUGUGAAGAGCUAUGAGCUGGGAUGGUACUAAGUGAAGACUGGCCCUGCUGGAACCCCUGAUGAUCACAGCUUGAAGACGCCCUCCGCUAUACUGAACCUGGCCCCUAAAAAGAGCACCACUGAAGCUAUCUGAUCCUCGAGGCCUCUUGGCCUCCCUCUCCUCUCUCUCCUGACAGCGAGCUGUCUCAAUAUCACGAGCAAUAUCCACUGCAUCCUCAAAGGUAUGACUUAGAAUCCUCUCUCGGGUCAUCAGAAUAUGGAGGAGAUAGAUAAGUCCAUCCACAAACCUCCUAAUCCUCUACCGAUCAGUGGGGACCAUCCAUGGAGCAUAACGAGCCAACUUCAAAAUCUCACCUCAUACUGUGACACAGUCAUAUCUCCCUAACGAAGCCACUCAAACUGUCUCCGCAGCUCCUCCCUGGACAUGAUAGAUAAGUUCAUCCACAAACCUCUUAAUCCUCUCCCGAUCAGUCGGGACCAUCCAUGGAGCAUGUAGAGCCAACUCCGAAAAUCUCACCCCAUACUGUGACAUAGUCAUAUCUCCCUGACGAAGCCACUCAAACUGCCUUUGUAGCUUCUCCCUCUAAGACUACAAUACCCACUUCUCCAAAAAGAGAGUGGAGAACUCCUACCAUGACAAAGUCGCUACACCUCUCGGCCUACGCCGCUCAUAAGCCUACCACCAAGUGAAGUCUUCUCUAGAAAACGGAAAAGUAGUAAAUGAUACCUGCUCGACUCCAAGAGCCCUGCGGUCCGAAGCAUACGUCGACACUUGUAGAGAAAACCCUGGGAAUUCUUGCUUGGAACACCAUUGAAAGUAGGAGGUGAGAGCCUACUAAACCUCUUGAGACGAUGCUGCUCAUUGUCUGGCAUAGCUGGAAUCACAUCCUCCUCAACUGGGGAAACCGGCUGAACUGGGGCAACCGACUGAACUGGGGCAACCUUCUGAACUGGCGAUGCCUCUGGUGUCUGCAAAUCCUCCACUCCCCGCUGGCGUGCGAGCAACAGGGAUCUGAUUGCUUCCCCUAGCCUGUGAUGUAGUUGUUGCAGUAGUGGUUGGGAGGGCCUGAGCCAGGCCAGUGCAAACUGAUAGAAUCUGAGCUAGGGCCUUCUGAAGACCCGGAAUCACAAUAGGCACAACUGGUGCCUGAACAGGUGCUGCUGGAGUCUCCACAGCUGGAGCCUGCUCCUGAUCCGGGAAAACUGGUAGGUCAACAAGUGCUGCCCCCUCAUCUCUGCCUCGACCACGAACUCGACCGCGUCCACGGCCUCUAGUGGCCUCAGUAGGUGAUACAGGUUGUCGUCUGCCACAUCUAGUAGCACGGGUUAUCACCAUCUAUGAGUGAAUAGAAUAAUAGAAUUUAGUUCUCGGAGCAACAAAGUCGCACGAUAAGAAUUCCAAGAAUAUAAAGUUUCUUAAUGGUUCUGCAGCAUCCCGAGGAUAGGUACAAACGUCUCCAUACCGAUCUGCGAGACUCUACUAAACUGUCUCAUGACUCGCGAGACCAAGUAACCUGGCUCUGACACCAACUUGUCACGACCCCAACCCGAUCGUAAUGGCACCGAGCACACUACUAGGCAAGCCCCACCAUUUAUAACAAUAACCCCAAUUUAUUAAAUAGAUAAAGAUAAUGCCAUUUAAGUCAAAAGUCUGAAAUACUGAUAAUAAUGCGGAAUAUCUAACAAAAUAACAAUACAGCCCAACUAGGACCCGAUGUCACGAACAUGAGCCUCUAGAAUACAGAGUAAUAUCCUACUACAAAGUCUGUCUAAAACUGAAAAUACGGAAAUAAAUGAUAGAAAUAGAGGGGAGAAUCAUCGGCUGUGAACACCCUGCAGAUACCUCAAAAUACUCCCGAAAUAAAACUUUGAAUCAACUAGAUCUACUCAGCCUGAGACUACCCUGGAUCAGCACGCAAGGUGCAGGGAGUAAAGUGAGUACUCCGACCCAAUGAGUAAUAAACAUAACUACAGUCUGUAAGGAAGAAAACGCAGAAAAUGCACAAACUUUUCUAUAUCUAGCAGCUCAUAUCCAAAAUAGUGGAAACAGUAUACAACAAGUUAUACAGUUAAGAAAUAAUGCAUGAAAGAAUGCAACACAUAUAACGGUACACACUAGUACCCGCUGCGGCGUGAAGCCCACUCCACUUAUCUAACGUCGAUGGCGCUCAUUGGGGGUGUGUACUGACUCCUGAGGGGCUCCUAUAGUCCAAGCGCAAUAUCAGCCAGGUAUUGGCAUAAAAUAAGCUCUCGGCCUCAAUAUCAAUAUAUAUAAUCGCUGCGGCGUGAAACCUGAUUCAUAUCAAGGAAACAUCCUCACUACCGGGUCCCCGACCCAUCUCAAUAAAAUAAGUUCACACCAAUUGGGCGUGACAUACUAUAGGGAUUUUAGCCCUCACAUCCUUAUUCAUUUAAUGUUAAUGUAUAAAAUACAGUUAUUAUAUUAUUUUUGACAUUUGAAAACAUGACUGAGAAUCUAUGUUAUGCACAAAAAUGAGGAAAACACAUAAGGAUCCCCUAAGGAUUCUACAGGUCGGCACAAGGCUCAAACACGGCAAUAAGCCCAAUUCACAAUAAUAAAGUAUGCAUCUCAAUCGCCAAUAUAGUAAACAUUAACACUUGGAAUGGACUAAGUCUGAAUCCCCAAUAGUAAACGACCCCGCUCUCAUCGUGGAAUGCAUCUCACACCUCAAUAUAGCAUUAGAAUGUGAAAGUCUGGGGUUUCAAACCCUCAGAGCAGCAUUUACAUUCAUUACUCACCUCUAGCCGGCCGAAAACUAGCUAGCAAUGUCCUUGCCUCUCGAAUCGACCUCCUCGCAUGUCGAAUCUGGCCAAAACUACAACGAAUACAUUACAAUAGUCUAAGGGAAUAUAACCCAAUCAAAAAGACUCAAAAAAUAUCAAAAACCACGAAAUUUGCAAAACCCGAGCCCUGGGCUCACUUUUCGAAAGUCAAAAAAUUUAACACCAAAAUAUUUCUUAUCUCUCCACGAGUCUAUUCAUGUAAAAUUUAUCAAAAUCAGAGUCCAAAUGCUCCCAUAAAUUCCAAUUUCUCAUAAAAAACCCAAGCCCUAGUUCUUCCCCUUUUUACUCAAAUUUCAUGAAUUUAGGUGUUGAAAUCACAAUUAGAUGAUGUUUCUAGGCCAUAGGGCUUACCUCCAAUCGAUUCCUAGUCAAAAACCUCUAAAUUCCUCAUCAAAAGCUCCCAAGGUUGCUUGAGAAUGGUGGAAAAUAGACUUGGUUCGCGGAUGAAAUGUUAUUAAAAACCCUCUCUGCUCGUCUAUUUCCUUCUAUGCGAACGCGAGACCCCCCCCCCCCCCNNNNNNNNNNNNNNNNNNNNNNNNNNNNNNNNNNNNNNNNNNNNNNNNNNNNNNNNNNNNNNNNNNNNNNNNNNNNNNNNNNNNNNNNNNNNNCCCCCCCCCCCCUCGCGUUCACGAUGCACAAAAAUUCCUCAGAUCAAAUUAAGCCUUCGCAAAUGUAUCUGGUCUCCCGCGAACGUGAAGGCGCAGGGCACAGACAUAUGCGAACUCGACCUAUUGAACAGGAACGCGUUGAACACCCAGACUGACCCUCUACUUUACUCUACGUGAACGCGUGCCCCAUCCCGCGAACGCGAAGCGCCAAUGCCUCAACCUACGCGACCACGUUGAUCAUUUUCCUGACCUCCAAAAUUAACCCUACGCGAACGUGACACUUGCCACGUGAAUGCGAAGGCUUAAAAAUAGUCUACACUGCUGUUGCAUUUUCUGCAACACUCAAAGUCCAAAAAUCCUUCUGUUAAUCACCCGGAAUCACCCCGAGGCCCAAGGGACCUCGACCAAAAACACCAACAUAUACCAAAACAUCAUACAAACUUAUUCCAAUCAUCAUAACACGUCAAACAACACUAAAAUCAUAAAUUCACAUAAGAUUCAAGCCUAAGUUUCUUCAAAACUUCCGAAUUGCACAUUCGAUAAAAAACCCGACCUAAACACCUCCGAAUGACCUGAAAUUUUACAUAGAUAUCCAAAAUUACCUAACAGAGCUACUGUAACUCUCGAAAUUCCAUUUCAAGCCUUGAAUCAUAAUCUCACCUAUCAAUCGGAAAUCGCCAAAAUUUAAACUUCGCCAAUUCAAGCCUAAUUCUGCAUCGGACCUCAAAAUUCAAUUCCGAUAGCACUCCUAAGUCAUAAUCAUCCCCCGAAGCUAAUCAAAUCAUCAUGAUUCACAUCUGAGCCCUAUAACUAAAUAGUCAACUUCCAGUUGACUUUUCCAAAGUAAGCUUCCCUUUAAGAGACUAAAUGUCUCAUUUUCAUCUGAAACCAAUCCAAUUCUACCUGAUAAACUCAAAUACUGAUAUUGAAACAUAGAUAAGUAUAAUAUGAGGUAAACAAGGCGGUAACUCACGUGACAACGGGCCGGGUCAUCACAAAAUAUAGUCUCGAGUUGAUUACAAUGAGCAAGCAAUUAAAUCACAGAACACUAAUCAGAAAUGUGACAGGACUAUUGAAAUUACGAAUCUACAUUAGAGAAUCAUCAUCAAUUCCAUUUCAUAUCUCAACAUGUGAAGCUACAUGAUAGAGUCUCGAGGUAUGUACCUAGAAUGAGAAAGGAAUAGAAAAUGAGCAAAUCAACAGCAACACAGGACUUAGCAAAAGCUCCAGAAAUCCAGCAAGGGAUAACGGGGUCUCGAAAAAUAAGUAAUUUCUGCUGGGCCUUUAUCCUUUUUGUAGGUUCAUUAGGCUUCUUAUUAGUUGGAACUUCCAGUUAUCUUGGUAGAAAUUUGAUAUCUUUUUUUCCGCCUCAGCAAAUCAUUUUUUUUCCACAUCUGCUGGGCCUUUAUCCUUUUUGUAGGUUCAUUAGGCUUCUUAUUAGUUGGAACUUCCAGUUAUCUUGGUAGAAAUUUGAUAUUUUUUUCCCGCCUCAGCAAAUCAUUUUUUUUACUUAAAGUAGACUCUUAAACACCCAAGAGUGCUUCAGUGAUCAACAAUCACUAAAACUGGCUCAAAAUUGAUCCGUUUGAACCCAAAUCAACUAAAAACCAAAUCAGAGAUCAUUGUGGACUUUAAUUACUAGAAUCUGAACUAAGAGAAGUCAAUCAAUCACAACAUUUGAAAUUAAACUUGAGGAAUAGAUGGAAAAGUACUAUUUUUUGGGGUUUUCAGCUUUUGUAUAUAUAUUUUUUGAUUUUUUUAGGUUGGAAAAAGGGAUUUCAAACUUUGAGAUCUAGAAUUUAAAAUCUGAAAUUCAAAUAUUUCAAUCCGGAAACUAUGGCCUAUUUGUUGGGAAUUAGAUGACUGAAAAAAGACCCCUCACCAAGGCAAUUGUGAUGCAUUUUAUAGGCAUCCAGAAGAGAGCAACAGACUUCAAAAUUUCUUUUAGGUCCCUGUUAAUUUUCCACUUUUAGUCCCUGUAUUUUUAACUUGGGACACAAGGACCUACCACUAUCAAUCUAAACUUUUAACUACCACUCAUCCUAGAAGCUUCUAGUAAUUUCCAAAUUCAGUCCCCAAAUGAAAUCCCCAAAUUAACCCUUUAUUAACUAAUUAUACUUAGGAUUGACCCACUAACUCUAAUCAACUAAACUAAACAUGGAUGUACUAAACUAUAACUAAAAGUUAUCUGACAAAAAAAAAAAGAAUUAAUCACAGAAUUUGUUCAAUUAUUAACCAACUCGAUCAACAAUAAAAAGUAUACCACUAUAUUAGUCUAACAGAACUAAGCAUAGAGGUCAAGCUAAACUAGAAAACAUUUAAAAGACAACUACCAUAUUGAACUAAUCGGAACGAAUAGUUAGCAGGCGAUAGUUAAACUAAAAAUCAAAACCUAUCGGACCCUAAACAUUAACUAAUCAUGCAAACUAAUUAUUGUCAAAAUAAUUCUAACACUCUAAUUGAAUCCACAUGCUAGCAAGAAAAAUAGGGAUAUAAGAGUGACUGAAAAAGAAAUAAAAAGGAAGGGAACAAACUUACUAAACAAAAUCCGUCCAGUUCAUCAAUUCUCUAAUUUGGCCAUUUCCGAUGAAAUUCGAGCUCUAAUGGCACUAAAAUCUUUAUGAGGUCAGUCCAGGAACCCUAUCAUAUCUCAUUUGGUAAGGAUUGGUUAUUUAAGUUUUGGCUAGAGAAUCUAAAAAUAUAAAUUCGAGAAUUUACAGUGAGAUUCGAGAUGUGUGGUUAUGAGGGUUGGGUAGAGAACGAUAAGGAGAACCUAUGGUGUGAAUUUGGGAUAAGUGACAUCAUGGCCAAAAAACUUUAAAUGGAUAUUCGAUGAGCUCUAGUGGGAUUUGAAAGAAACAAGCAACAUAUUCGAGUAGAGGAGGCGGAGAGGAAGUUAGGGUGUUAUUUUGGGGUGGUUUGGAGGUGGUAACGUUCACCGCCGGCGGCGACUUCCGGCGGCGUUACAGAGAUACGAGGAAGACGACUUAUGUAUUAGGGUUAGUUAAUUUUUUU